AUAAGAAAGCUUAGCUAUUAAAACCUGAAGGGGCGAAAAACAAGGGUGAGGGGCCUGAAAAUAAAGUUUUAUAAAAACCUUUCUGAAAACAUUGUAACCCCUCGUCGUAAAACAAGUAUAGUUUCCAAAAUAUACUUACUAUGUAUAGUAUAACAAUACUUACCAUAGUCUGAAAAAUCUCAAGAAUUCAUUACGGCACAAUAUCUCGUAAAUAAGGACAUGACAUCCAAAAUCACAAAAUCUCACAUAAGCAACAUAUCAUAUUGGGUGUUUAUCAACACGUGCUGACACACGAGUUUAUGCAGAUGUGUUCUGACAUGAACAUGAAUGGAUGUAAUCAUAAUAUAUGCUCCAGUACUACAAUCACGUAAAGACUGGCGCUAUUCGCUAUCACAUACGAGUCAGAGUUGCCUAUAGUAAGCUUACUUGUGCAUCCCGUAGGAUUAUUUCAUCAUUUCCCAACAAAAAGGUAUUUCUUAUAAACAUUAAUUUAAUCAUGGAAAUCGCAUAAAGAAUUUAUUAAUGCUUGUAUAUAUGGAAACUAACCAAUAUAUAUAAGAAAAGAUCCACUCACAGGUCAUGUUGCUGAGUCAAACCCGUCUCAUAGCAUCGAGAGUCCUUGUGAUCCAUUUCGCCUAGAAAUGAAACCAUUUAGGUAAAUAUAACGUGCUAAUGAAAUUACACAUUUUCGUACAAAGUAUGGCUAAUAAAGGAACUUUCCUACAAUGGUCAAAUUUCAGAAAACGGACGGCGGAUUCGGAAUCAGCGCGUCGAAAUACGCUAAGGAGGGUCCAUAACCCUACACAAGUCAAUCUGGAACAUCCGCCCAGGGAUUUCUGAUCCCUAACUUCCCAAAGUCCACAUUAUACUUCUAGAACAACAUACUAAAACUUCUUUACCAUCCAACGGUUAGAUCUCCGCCAAUCGUAAAUUCAAGUGGCGGUCAAAGUUGGAUUUUACAAAUUUUAAAAAUUCAAUUCGGAAAGAUCCAUACAUCAGAUUCCCAAUCCAUAAGUUCCUAAUGUCCACAAAUAUUACGUAGUAUUAUGAAUUAAAGUUUGGUGCCGAUCCAACGGUCGAAUUGUCCACUCAUAUAAUAACCAAGUGGCGACCAACUAGGCAGCCCACUACAAAACUAUAUUAGAAUAUCAAGAUUUCAUUAAACGAAUGUCAAUUAUGGAAUCGGAGCAUCAAAUUAGCCUAGGAUGCUCAGGUGGGUCCUUGGCCCACGUGUCACUCCGACUCAUCUGAAAAAUCAACUAUUUCAAAAAAUUACCAAAUUUCACAAAAAUGAAGAUCUCAAUGAGUAGAGCAAGUUUUAUACCUGUGGCCAAGUUCAAUUUGGCCGAGAGAAGCUCCAAUUGCCCUCGAAGUCGCCGGAAACCCUAGAAAUAGGUGGCUUCGAUCCAUCACCUCCGAUGCUCUACCGCCCCCAUAGCUGUUUGGGCUUUGUUCUAGGCUUCAAAAUGAGUCUAAUGGUGGUGGUAAUUGAAGGAAAACAUUUCAAAAUUGAUGGAUCUUGGGCAAGGGUUUCCGCGGCAUCCACGGGUAUUUCUUUGUGACAUCUCAACCAAUUUGUGUCGAUUUUAGCUAGAAAUGGAUGUUAGGAUGUGGUGAUGAGGUUUGGUGGUGGUGAAUGGGUGAAAAUCACCUGAAAAAUGGAUGAGAAUCGCUGGAAAACCCUCUAGGUCGAAACUGGGUUGAGUGAGUAGGUGCAUGGGUCAUGUUUGGAUGCUCUGCACCUCUCUCAUUUCCCCUCCUUUCUCUCCUCUCUAGUUGUCACUCUCUCUCUUCCAUCUGAUUGAGCAACCACCCUCCUUUUCUCUCCUCUAAUUGGGCAGCAACUCCCUCAUUCCUAUUAUUUCUUCCUUAUUUCCUCCAUCCAUUCCUUCUCCUAUCCUUUAUUUCUCACAACUAAUAUUAAAAUAAUAAUAUAAUAAUUAUAAGAAAUAUAUAAAAUAAUAAAUGGUAAUCUUUACAAAAGUACUUUUCGGAUUUGUAGUUUCGUAAAACUCCUAUCGUAACUCCGGUUUAUUUCAGAUUACGCUUAUGCGAUCGUCCCGUCGAGAACUUCAAGAGUAUGGUAACAUAGUAACUUGCACAGGUCACUAAAUGCCAGUCAACGAGAGUGCAACAUCCUCGACUCUAAGGGCAUUUUUGUAAAAUCACUCUUUUAAAAUUUAUAAAAUCAUGAAAUUAGGGACGAGUUGUCACAAAAACAACCUGUGUAAUAUGUUUAUUAUGGUAAUAACAUUUUUUUUGUGAAUGUGAUGUAGAUUUCUCAUUUGUUGUAUUAGUUUUUAUUUUAUUUAUUUUAUCUCAGAAGCUAUUUUUCAUUAUGACUAACUAAAAUAUAUUUAUUCAUGUCUAGAAAAAGUACUAAUUUAUACCUGUAAUGAUCUUCCAAGAAUGAAGUUAAUGGAAAAACAGAUUAUAGAUAAAAAAUGAUAAUAUGUGUUAAUCGAAUAUCAUAAAAUAACAUUGUUUUCGUUGUCUAUGGAUAUAAACACCUGAGUGAUUAAGGCAGUCAAUUUUUGAACACAUUUCUAGAAACAAUUUAACAUAAAAUAAAAUCAUCUGACAUCGUUUUGCAAGCAUAGAGAAACAGAACAAAAGUUAAUUCAAUAGCUAAACAGAUUUCAAAGAAAAUAGAAAAUAAUAAAUUUUUUUAUUAAAGCAAAUACCUGCAAAGAGUUUAACUCUAAAGCUUGUAAAAAUAACAAUUAUUGGCUUGGGUAGCUGUUCUGAUGAAAGAGCAGAGAAGCUAUGCGCAACAUCUGACCAUAGUGUAAUCUUAGCCUCUUUAUUUCUGUAAAAGAAGAAGAAGAAGAACAACAACAAAGCUUUUUCCCACUAAGUGGGGUCGGCUAUAUGAAUCCUAGAACGCCAUUGCGCUCGGUUGUGUGUCAUGUCCUCCGUUAGAUCCAAGUACUCUAAGUCUUUUAUUAGGGUCUCUUCCAAAGUUUUCCUAGGUCUUCCUCUACCCCUUCGGCCCUGAACCUCUGUCCCGUGGUCACAUCUAACUAACAGUUUAAAGGAGAUGGAUACGUGUAAAAGAACUGUGCAUUACACAUAGUAAACUAAAAAAUGAAUGUACCAUUUGACAACAUAAAAUAGAAGAAUAAAGAGUUUAGAGAUCAAUUGUAUACAAUCUUUACUACAGAGAGUAUAAAAACCAUGUCAUGUGCAUUAAAACAAAUAACUCAUCCUUAACACAGAAGAUCAAAUGUUUAUAAACUAAUUUUACGAAAAAAUGAUCACUAACCUUUUCAUCAACCAAUAUACAAUGUAAGGUUGUAUAUUUAUCGCCCAUGCCUGGAUACUUUGGUUUCCAUAUUCUACAAACACACACUUUAAUUUUGACAACCAUUUAUAUGCCACCAAUUGGUCAAGUGGAGUUGGACCUUCAUCUUCCAUUUAAUCUAUACAAAUGAAAUACAAAAUUAAUCUUUUACACACACACACAUACACAAAGCAAGUGCUUCCUAAUCCAAAGAGUCAAUCACAAUAAAGCAGCAGAUUAGUGAAUAGUCAAUCAUGAUUUCUUUUGAGGCCAAAAAACCUCAUUAGUGAUGGUGAAUCAAUAUGGAAGUCGCUCUAGAUUAGCGAUGAUGAUUUUAAAAUGGACACUGAAGAGCCAUUCAUUGAACGAUGUAACUAUUAAAUCUGUUAAAUUGCAGCAGGAAAAGCUUAACAUACACUCUUAAAUUGAGAUGCUGGUCCAAGAGUCAUAAAUAGUUACCAAUAUGUAUUAUCAUCCGCAACAACUAUCAAAUUAAUUCUUUUGAUUACUUAGUUACCGACAUAGCUAUUAUUCCUGACAAACUAAUGAUGGUAAGUGAUUAUCUAUAAACAAACCCUUCUUCCAAUUGCUAUUUUCUUAGUUGCCAAAAUCUUCCACCACGACGAUAAAAAUAGCCAUAUUUUCAUGAAGGUAUACCCACUGUAUAUAGUUACACAUCUAAACCCAAAUCUGUAUACCACAUACGAAUGCCAAAUCAACUAAUUUGAAAAAAAAUAUUAAAGGUCAAGACCAAUAACAAACGGGAACUUUACAUUUCAUUGAAAUAUAAAUUGCAAGUUUAACAUGAAAACUAGACCAAUCUACACAAAAAUAACGUAAAAACUAAUUGAAAGUUUCUAAACGAAGGCAAAACCAACAACAACAACAACAAAGCCUUUUCCCACUAAGUGGGGUCGGCUAUAUGAAUCCUAGAACGCCAUUGCGCUCGGUUUUGUGUCAUGUCCUCCGUUAGAUCCAAGUACUCAAGUCUUUUCUUAGGGUCUCUUCCAAAGUUUUCCUAGGUCUUCCUCUACCCCUUCGGCCCUGAACCUCUGUCCCGUAGUCACAUUUUCGAACCGGAGCGUCAGUAGGCCUUCUUUGCACAUGUCCAAACCACCGGAACCGAUUUUCUCUCAUAUUUCCUUCAAUUUUGGCUACUCCUACUUUACCUCGGAUAUCCUCAUUCCCAAUCUUAUCAUUUCUCGUGUGCCCAUACAUCCCACGAAGCAUCCUCAUCUCCGCUACACCCAUUUUGUGUACGUGUUGAUGCUUCACCGCCCAACAUUCUGUGCCAUACAACAUCGCUGGCCUUAUUGCCGUCCUAUAAAAUUUUCCCUUGAGCUUCAGUGGCCUACGACGGUCACACAACACGCCGGAUGCACUCUUACACUUCAUCCAUCCAGCUUGUAUUCUAUGGUUGAGAUCUCCAUCUAAUUCUCCGUUCUCUUGCAAGAUAGAUCCUAGGUAGCGAAAACGGUCACUUUUUGUGAUCUUCGCUAGAUUGCUCCGGUCAUUAGUGUAGAUAAGUAUAUAAAUGGAUAGAGAUAGGAGAGCAAACACAAGAUGUACGUGGUUCACCCAGAUUGGCUACGUCCACGGAAUAGAGGAGUUCUCAUUAAUUGUGAAGGGUUUACACAAGUACAUAGGUUCAAGCUCUCCUUUAGUGAGUACAAGUGAAUGAUUUAGUACAAAUGACAUUAGGAAAUAUUGUGGGAGAAUGAUCUCGUAACCACGAAACUUCUAAGUACCGGAGUGUGGUAUCGUCUUGACUUGCCUUAUCUGUCUCAUAGGUACAUGUGGCAUAUUCUCUGGAAGUACUCUUCCUCCAUCCAGGGGUGGUAUCUGUAACUGGUGGAGAUGCACAAGGUAAUGUAUCAAUUUCACUUGAAGCUUACUUGUAGUUUCAGGCUUGGCCAAGUGCGAUACAAACCAUGUAGUAGGAGUCCCCCAAGUCGCCGAGCUAGGGGAUCUGCUGAAAGAGGUGACAGACAAGGUAAGCAAUCAGAGCUCCGGCUGAUUGUUCACAUUCUCCCUAUCUUGCAGGCAGCAUGAAGGAUAAAGAGAAGAAAAAUGAGAAGAGAUGAUAUGGGAUACUUUUGCUUUUGAAGAAGUAACUUUCCACAGGCUUAUUCUUGAACUGGGCUGGAGGGUUUUUUGGUUUCCUCCAGAGUAUAAGGCCGACUGAAGAAUUUGAGGGUCAAAACAAGUCCAUCAAAUCUAGUGUACGUUCGACCCUGCUGAUAUGGGAUACUUUUGCUUUUGACAGAGUAGUGGAUGUAUCGGCACGUGUGCUGUUACGCUUGUCUCCACAUGCUUCCUUGUAUCCUUCUCACUUGCCCUAUCUGUUCCUCAGGCAGAUGCGGUAUCUUCCCUGGAAGCAUAAGAUGUUGAAGAUGAGUACUCGAGAGCAAUGCCAGGUAAGUAAUCAGGUAAGGGGUUCCAGGCAGUCAGUUCCUGGCUGGAAGCUUGAUUCCAAGUGCUGACUGAUUGCUCUCUUUCUCCUUGUCUUGCAGGUAAGAACAAGGCCAAAGGAAAAGACAGGGAAAAAGCAUGAUAUGGGAUACUCUUGCUUUUAACCCUGAUGAUAUGAGAUAUUCUUGCUCUAGUAUAGCUUGUUUACAAAUGUAUUAUCGGGGGGAAAGAAAGCUGAAUAUUUCGAAAGGCUUCGUUGGGAGUGCCCUCUCAGAUAAGAGGAAGGGUUGAGCAUUUUUGCAGGUAUGCCUGUCCGUUGGGGAUGGAGGUCGACAUAUAUAGGAGUCUCCCUAACAUCAAGUAAUAAUGCUAUUCCUUUACCCUGCUUGAUCAUAGUACGGUAGUGGGAGCUGCCAGCUUCACAUGUUUUAACUCUGUCAGAGCACUUUGAAAAAGUGGUCUGUGGUAUCUGGAAAGCUGAUGUUGCGUGUGAAGAUUACAGAGAAGCUUUAUCCAAGGAGAUCCAGCUCCUGAAGUUGGGAAAGUGGUGCCUCUUCGGUUUUCGAACAAGCAAUCCUGUCGGGGAUCUGGCUCUCGAGAUUCGGAGAACGAUGCCUUUUCGAUUUUUGAGAAAAUAAUCCUGCUGGGGGUCUGGCUCUCGAGAUUCGGAGAGCGGUGUCUCUUCGAUUUUUGAGAAAGUAAUCAUGUUGGGAGUCCGGCUCUCGAGAUUCUGAGGGCGGUGCCUCUUCGAUUUUGGAGCAAGCAAUCUUGUUGGGAGUGUUUUCUCGAAUAUGAGUAAAGGUUGGGCAUGUUUGCUAGUCUACCUUGCCACGAAACACAGAGGUUGACACACAGGGACUUUCCAAUUAUCCAGCAGUGGUACUGUUCCUUUACCAUCUCUUCGAUUUUUUAGAAAGUAAUCAUGUUGGGAGUCUGGCUCUCGAGAUUCGGAGGGCGAUGCCUCUUCGAUUUUGGAGCAAGCAAUCUUGUUGGGAGUGUUUUCUCGAAUAUGAGUAAAGGUUGGGCAUGUUUGCUAGUCUACCUUGCCACGAAGCACAGAGGUUGACACACAGGGACUUUCUAAUUAUCCAGCAGUGGUACUGUUCCUUUACCUUCUCUUCAAUUUUUGAGAAAGUAAUCAUGUUGGGAGUCUGGCUCUCGAGAUUCGGAGGGCGGUGCCUCUUCGAUUUUGGAGCAAGCAAUCUUGUUGGGAGUGUUUUCUCGAAUGUGAGUAAAGGUUGGACAUGUUUUCUAGUCUACCUUGCCACAAAGCACAGAGGUUGACACACCGGGACUUUCCAAUUAUCCAGCAGUGGUACUGUUCCUUUACCCUUGUGGGUAAUAAUAUGGUAGCUAGACCUUCAAAAUUUAUGUGUCUAAACUUUGUUAGUGUUGUUUCUUUGCUAUUCUUUUACCCUUCUUGGUCAGAGCGAUGUAGUAGGAGCUGGAAGCUUCACGUGUCUCAACUUUGUCAGAGAACUUUGACAAAGUUAUCUGUGGUACCCAUGAGCUACUGUUGCGUGUGGGAAGUGGGUGAUUGAACAGUACGAUUCAUGUGCUUUUUACUUCGCCAGAAAUCUUCGACAGAAUGCCCAUAAUUUCCGCAAAGCUGAGUGUGCGUGUGACAGGUGCUGACAAGGCUGGAAAAGUAGGUGCCUCUUCGAUUUCUGAGAUCGGCCCUCGUGGUCUCUGAGCAGCCCAGCUUUUGAGAAAGCAAGCCUCUUCGAUUUCUGAGAUCGGCCGUCGUGGUUUUUGAGCAUCCCAGCUUUUGAGAAAGCAAACGCCUCUUCGAUUUCUGAGAUCGACCCUCGUGGUCUCUGAGCAGCCCAGCUUUUGAGAAAGCAAACGCCUCUUCGAUUUCUGAGCAGGCGCCUCUUCGAUUUCUGAAGCUUCGUCGAGUGCAGAUUUUUAUAGGGGCUGACAUUAAGUUCCAAAGCACACUUGAAUAUCCACCAGUAGAAGCUCCAUUCUUGCACUUCUAAGAUCUUGAUUUGUCCGACCUCUUCUCUCUUCAACACCUUUGAAAAUGUCUGGCCCCUCCGACCGUCGUUUUGACUUGAACCUUGUUGAAGAGGCAGCCCCACAUUCUCCAGACAACAUAUGGCGCCCAUCCUUCGUCUCCCCUACUGGUCCUCUUACCGUUGGGGAUUUCGUGAUGAAGAAUGAUAUGACCGCUGCGGUAGUGGCCAGGAACCUUCUCACUCCCAAAGAUAACAGACUACUUUCCAAACGGUCUGAUGAGUUGGCUGUUAAGGAUUCUCUGGCUCUCAGUGUUCAGUGUGCAAGUUCUGUGUCUAAUAUGGCCGAACGCCUAUUUGCUCGAACCCGCCAUGUUGAAUCAUUGGCGGCUGAAGUGAUGAGUCUCAAACAGGAGAUUAGAGGGCUCAAGCAUGAGAAUAAACAGUUGCACCGGCUCGCACAUGACUAUGCUACAAACAUGAAAAUGAAGCUUGACCAGAUGAAGGAAUCUGAUGGUCAGGUUUUACUUGAUCAUCAGAGAUUUGUGGGUUUGUUCCAAAGGCAUUUAUUGCCUUCGUCUUCUGGGGCUGUACCGCGUAAUGAAGCUCCAAAUGAUCAACCUCUGAUGCCUCCUCCUUCUAGGGUUCUGUCCAGUACUGAGGCUCCGAAUGAUCCCCCUCCGGUGCCUUCUCUUUCUGGGGCUCUACCGAUUGCUGAGACUUCUCCUAAGCAACCUUUGUGAAGGCUCCCUCUUGUUUGUUUAUUUUGACUCAAGUAUAUGUACAUAUUUGUAACUUAUCGGGGAUAUCAAUAAAUAAGCUUUCCUUCAUUUCAACGUAUUGUGUUAAAUACACCAAAGCCUUUUUCGCUAAGUUCUUUGAAUUUUCUUUUGUUGAAGCUUGUCUGUUGAAGCUUUGUGAGUGGAGCAUGUAGGUUGAGGUAGUGUUCCCUUAAUUUCCCGAGUGAGGAAAACUUCUCGGUUGGAGACUUGGAAAAUCCAAGUCACUGAGUGGGAUUGGCUAUAUGAAUCUUAGAACGCCAUUGUGUUCUGUCCUGUGUCAUGUCCUCCGUUAGAUCCAAGUACUCUAAGUCUUUUCUUAGGGUCUCUUCCAAAGUUUUCCUAGGUCUUCCUCUACCCCUUCGGCCCUGAACCUCUGUCCCAUAGUCGCAUCUUCUAAUCGGAGCGUCAGUAGGCCUUCUUUGCACAUGUCCAAACCACCGUAACCGAUUUUCUCUCAUCUUUCCUUCAAUUUCGGCUACUCCUACUUUACCCCGGAUAUCCUCAUUCCUAAUCUUAUCCUUUCUCGUGUGCCCACACAUCCAACGAAGCAUCCUCAUCUCCGCUACACCCAUUUUGUGUACGUGUUAAUGCUUCACCGCCCAACAUUCUGUGCCAUACAGCAUCGCCGGCCUUAUUGCCGUCCUAUAAAAUUUUGCCUUGAGCUUCAGUGGCAUACGGCGGUCACACAACACGCCGGAUGCACUCUUUCACUUCAUCCAUCCAGCUUGUAUUCUAUGGUUAAGAUCUCCAUCUAAUUCUCCGUUCUUUUGCAAGAUAGAUCCUAGGUAACGAAAACGGUCGCUCUUUGGUAUUUCUUGAUCUCCGAUCCUCACCCCUAACUCGUUUUGACUUCCAUUUGCACUGAACUUGCACUCCAUAUAUUCUGUCUUUGAUCGGCUUAGGCGAAGACCUUUAGAUUCCAACACUUCUCUCCAAAGGUUAAGCUUUGCAUUUACCCCUUCCUGAGUUUCAUCUAUCAACACUAUAUCGUCUGCAAAAAGCAUACACCAAGGAAUAUCAUCUUGAAUAUGUCCUGUUAACUCAUCCAUUACCAACGCAAAAAGGUAAGGACCUAAGGAUGAGCCUUGAUGUAAUCCUACAGUUAUGGGAAAGCUUUCGGUUUGUCCUUCAUGAGUUCUUACGGCAGUCUUUGCUCCUUCAUACAUAUCCUGUAUAGCUUGGAUAUAUGCUACUCGUACUUCUUUCUUCUCUAAAAUCCUCCAAAGAAUGUCUCUUGGGAUCCUAUCAUACGCUUUUUCCAAAUCUAUAAAGACCAUGUGUAAAUCCUUUUUCCCAUCUUUAUAUCUUUCCAUCAAUCUUCGUAAGAGAUAGAUUGCCUCCAUGGUUGAGCGCCCUGGCAUGAACCCGAAUUGGUUGUUCGAAAUCCGUGUCUCUUGCCUCAAUCUAUGCUCAAUGACUCUCUCCCAGAGCUUCAUUGUAUGACUCAUUAGCUUAAUACCUCUAUAGUUCAUGCAAUUUUGUACAUCGCCCUUAUUCUUGUAGAUAGGCACCAAAGUGCUCGUUCGCCACUCAUUUGAUCUGAAAUAAUUAAAACAACUAAACAUAGCACUCAAAUAACUCCAUAAAAAGCAAAAAGUCUAAAAACCCAUUACCUAACAAAGAUAGCAAGAAAUCUUUGUGCAAAUCGUCAAGAGAGAACCUGUGAAACGCUGAACACAAAAGUACAAAAAAAAGGAAAAAAAAACAAUUAAAAUUCGAUGCUCAAAACGAAAUAACAUUACACACGGUAGACUAACAACAUCACAGUAGCAGGGAAAUAACAGAAGCUAAAAAGCAAAACAAAUACAAAGACAAAAAACAGAACAAAAAAGAGAACAAAACUUACAAACCUAGAUUUGGAAGCAGCAAAAACACAAAUGGGACAACCCAGAACUCCAAAACAAAAGAAAACAACUAAAGAGAGAGAAAUAAGAAAGGAAAGCUAAAAUGGAAAAGGUGAGGGAUGAUCGACACGUGGCGGAAGCUAAACCGAAAGCCAAAAAAACCAGCAAAACCAAAAACAACAAAAAGCAUCUUUCCCACAGGAAGAAGAGGCGG
rnacentral:lncRNA from 1 species